CACUGUUCCUUUUUUCCUCCUGGAGGUUGGAUGGUGGCUGCUGUUGUGGCAAAUGCUGGGCAAAGACUAAAGCUUUCUACAAUGUCCGAACCUCGAGGACUACAAAUGUUUCGAGCCCCGAACAUCAAAUCUUCCAUCUACUGCUGUCAGAUGUCUUGGGGAUUUUCAGAACUCUGAGGAUAGUAGUUUCCCAGGGGAUCUUAUCUCAAUGAAGUAAAAUUUUGAGGCUCCAAUGCUCCUGGACUUUCAGAGGUUUGGGGUAAGUCCCAGCUGCACGUUCAACCAGCUUCAGACCUCAGCAGUUUCUAGUUCUAGGAAUCCAAGUUUCUUCAUUGCUAAAGUGGGAAUAAUAGAACUUUGCUAACAAUCAGACUGUUGUGACAAGCAAGUGAGGUAAACAUCAAGGACUUUGGCACCGUGCCUGGCACAGACGAGACUUAAUGAGUGGUGGAUAUGUUUAUGGUUAUCACAGUAUUCUUAACAUUAAACCUCUGUACAGAAACCGAAAUAUUCUUACCACACGCUAAUCUAUUUUAAAUAAAUUGGUCUAGAGAAGAAAUUUCCUUAGUCCUGCCAACUCCAUCUGACGCAGCUCUGUAAGGAGUAAUCGUUUUGUAGGCGUGCUACAAAACAGAAAUAGAGUGUGAGUCUCAUGUGUAGCUUAAAAUGGCUACUAGCUGUUUCAACAGAAGCAAAGAAAACGUGAGAUUAAUCUCAACAUGCAUUUUUUUCUCUUAAAUUUAACUUGUUCUCAAUGAAAGUUGUGUUUAAGAAUCACUCUAAUCCCAAAUCAUCUCAGUGUGUCCCAUAGAGUGG
rnacentral:lncRNA from 1 species